AACAUCUCACGAAAGUUCAAGUGCAUCGAUCACUGGAUCGAGGGAGAGUUUGGAAGGAUCCUUCGCGCGUGUGCUGUGCCGAAUCAGUCAGUCAUAAGCUCUUUUACCGGUAGCAAGUCAUGUCUAGCCGUUGGGUUUUGUUACUGAUCAGUCUGAUGCUCAUCGUAGGAUGUGUAUUUGCAAGGACGCAUCAUGACCAUCAUCAUCGGAUAAAGCCACUCAAGUACAGUUACGGAAUAUACGCUCCUACUGGCUGGACGGUUGCGCUUUACAUCUGGUACAUCGUUAAGUUGGGCUUUAUAUUAGGCGCUCUGCUGCUGUUACUGUUUGCUAAAAAAUGGAACACCAACCGGCAGCCUAUUGUUUUUGAAAGUGGACCUGAAUACUACCAUCAUCGAUCAUUGGACACGAUGGAGCCAAACCUUUUCCACCCAAGAAGCAGAAGAGAUGUGCGUCUUUACUGGAACGAUCGAAUAGAUGCAGUGCGAUCAACAUUACGAUAGUGAGCUUAGUUUAAUUAUAAUUAAGGUAAUAUUAAUACCAAUUAAACUGUAAUAAUUUAUUAAAAGUAAUUAAUAUAUAUAA